CAGACUAAUGACAACAAUAUCUCAUGAAUUAAAGAUUAAGCUUAAUCCAGAUCUGUGCACCCAAGAUUCAUU
rnacentral:snoRNA from 1 species